GCGUCGUUAGCGCAAUAGGCAGCGCGUCAGUCUGAUAAUCAAAUCUAGAAAUCUGAAGGUCGUGAGUUCGAUCCUCACACGGGGCA
rfam:Nematostella vectensis strain CH2 x CH6 NEMVEscaffold_477_Cont28283, whole genome shotgun sequence.